rnacentral:rRNA from 1 species
UACGAAGGGGGCGAGCGUUGUUCGGAAUUACUGGGCGUAAAGGGCGCGUAGGCGGCCGAUCAAGUUAGAUGUGAAAGUCCUGGGCUUAACCUGGGGACUGCAUUUGAUACUGAUUGGCUUGAAUUCGGGAGAGGAUAGCGGAAUUCCCAGUGUAGAGGUGAAAUUCGUAGAUAUUGGGGAAGAACACCGGUGGCGAAGGCGGCUAUCUGGACCGACAUUGACGCGUGAGGCGCGAAAGCGUGGGGAGCAAACAGG